rnacentral:snoRNA from 1 species
AAUCCAUUGUAUGUGCAUUGCAAUAAAAGUGAUUUGAAGCGAUCACAUGCUUCAAGAAAAGAUUUAGCAUUCUUUUGAUAAAAAUUAAAAAUUUCAACUCUCAAUUC